CACGUAUUCAGCUUUAGUAGAUGCUGCCAGUUUUCUGAAGUCGUACUGAUUUGCACACCUGCUAACAGUGUAUGAGGUCUCUCUAGCUGCUCCAGAUCCUCACUGACACUUAGUUGUUUAACCUAACCAUUCUGCCCGGGCCCCACGGGGCAGUGUCAGUCACAGCAGCGUGUGAUAUCACUCCAGAUGACAACCCAGAGCGCCCCGCACAUAAGCUGACAGCAAUCGGCUUAUCUGGAAGCCACCCCGGCUGAGUAAGGGGUCACUAUCAGAAUGAUUCGCACAGACUCACGGCAGCAGGAAGUCGGCAGCGGAGGCCUUGCGCCACCCUCACUUGAGUCACUCGGUCUGGUUCCCACAGCUGUGGCCUGCUUAAUACACAUCCUGUGAAGAAAAAACGAUGCAAGUAUUCUGCGGGGGAGGCAGUUCCAAG
ensembl:lncRNA